GGCUGGGUUGCCCUCUGACACGACCCUGACAAAUGAGAAGGGAACCACCACGUAGGCCAAAUAGCUCAGAUUAAGGUUAUGAGUCUGUCAGGAGAGUGGAAGUUCUGCUAAGAGAUAAUGAGUACUUGCAAUCGAGAGGGAGGUCGCUGUGCAGAGAUG